GUAAAUAUACACUUAUAUCCCUUAAGUUAAUUAAUCCAAACCUUAGGGUUUAGAGUUAAGGGGUGGGGUUUUGGAAUUAGAGUUUAAAAUUUUAUAAAAAAUAAAUACUAAAAUAAAAAAUAAAAAUUUUAAAAACAGUUUCAAAAAGUAUUUUUAAAUUAUAAAAAGAAAAUUUUCAAAAAAAAAAUAAAAAAAAAUUUCGAAAAAAAGAUUUUCAAAAAAAAAAUUAUAAAAUUUCGAAUCUGAAAACUCAUAAUCUGAAACUAUAAAAUUUUUUUUUUUUUAUUUUAUUAUUUUUAUUUUUUUUUGUUUGUUUAUUUAAUUUUAAACCAAGGGUAUUAGGGAUAUUUUACCCUUUAAUGAAUAUCAUUUUUGUGACUUUUUCCUUCUAGUGCUAUUUUUGAGACAUAAACUUCAAAAGGUGCUAUUAUUGACAAUUGCCCUAUGUAAUAUUGGUAAAUCAAUUUCUAAUUAAUUAAUUCAAAAGUUUCCAUAAUUCAUUAUAUGUUUGCAUUUUUAAUUUAAUAAUAAACAUAUAUUUUUUCUAACAAAAUCUUAUAAAAUGUUUCACCACUAUUUUAUAAAUUAUUAUUAUAUUAUUAUUAUUUUAAAAGAAAAAGGAAAAUAUGCUAAUAUUAUUGUAUAUUACAUAUAGAUAAAAGAUAUAUUAUCAAGCUAAAUGAUAAAUAUAAUUACAUAAACUAAUACGCGAACUAUUUUCCUAGAUUAUAAAAUCAAACUAAGUAUAUUCAUAUUAAAAUUAUAUAUACA
rnacentral:lncRNA from 1 species